rnacentral:tRNA from 1 species
GGACGUGUGGUCUAGUUGGUUAUGGCAUCUGCUUAACACGCAGAACGUCCCCAGUUCGAUCCUGGGCAUGUUCA